ensembl:lncRNA
CCAGUUUCAUCCACCCAAAUCCAGUCCAUCUGAUUCUGUUUUCUGUAUUAUGUAUUUUUCAUUUGCUGUGGCAUUCAGGAAAGUGGGUUUUAUGGUCAUUUUGACUCACAAAAAACGGGUUAUGAUAGAUAUAGGGUUAUGAUAGAUAUAGGGUUAUGAUAGAUAUAGGGUUAUGAUAGAUAUAGGGUUAUGAUAGGGAUAGGGUUAUGAUAGAUAUAGGGUUAUGAUAGGGAUAGGGUUAUGAUAGAUAUAGGGUUAUGAUAGAUUCAGGGUUAUGAUAGAUAUAGGGUUAUGAUAGAUAUAGGGUUAUGAUAGGGAUAGGGUUAUGAUAGAUAUAGGGUUAUGAUAGAUAUAGGGUUAUGAUAGGGAUAGGGUUAUGAUAGAUAUAGGGUUAUGAUAGGGAUAG